rnacentral:rRNA from 1 species
UUAGUGGCAAGGUUAACCGUUUAGGGUAGCCGUAGGGAAACCGAGUCUUAAUAGGGCGUCACAGUCGCUAGGAGUAGACCCGAAACCAAGUGAUCUAUCCAUGGCCAGGUUGAAUGUGGGGUAAUACCCACUGGAGGACCGAACCCACUAACGUUGAAAAGUUACGGGAUGAGCUGUGGAUUGGAGUGAAAGGCUAAACAAACUUGGAGAUAGCUGGUUCUCCGCGAAAGCUAUUUAGGUAGCGCCUCAUGUAUAACUUCUGGGGGUAGAGCACUGUUUCGGCUAGGGGGGCCUCACCGGCCUUACCAAACCGAUGCAAACUCCGAAUACCAGAAAGUUUAAGCAUGGGAGACACACGGCGGGUGAUAAGGUCCGUCGUGAAAAGGGAAACAGCCCAGACCGCCAGCUAAGGUCCCUCAGUGAUAGUUAAGUGGGAAACGAUGUGGGAAGGCCCAGACAGCCAGGAGGUUGGCUUAGAAGCAGCCACCCUUUAAAGAAAGCGUAAUAGCUCACUGGUCGAGUCGGCCCGCGCGGAAGAUUUAACGGGGCUUAAACUAUCCACCGAAGCUGCGGGUGUGCACUAUGUGCAUGCGGUAGCGGAGCGUUCUGUACGCUGUCGAAGGUAAACUGAGAAGUUUGCUGGAGGUAUCAGAAGUGCGAAUGCUGACAUGAGUAACGAUAAAGCGGGUGAGAUGCCCGCUCGCCAGAAGUCCAAGGUUUCCUGCUCUACGCUAAUCGGAGCAGGGUGAGUCGGCCCCUAAGGCGAGGCAGAAAUGCGUAGUCGAUGGGAAACAGGUCAAUAUUCCUGUACUCAAACUUAUUGCGAUGGGAGGACGGAGAAGGCUAGGCCAACCGGAGAUUGGUUGUUCCGGUUUAAGUGUGUAGGCUGAGUGUUUAGGAAAAUCCGGCACUUAAGGCUGAGACAUGAUGACGAGCUUCUUUAUUGAAGUGAAGUGGUUGAUGCCAUGCUUCCAGGAAAAGUCUCUAAGCUUCAGAUAAGUUUGAACCGUACUCCAAACCAACACAGGUGGACAGGUAGAGAAUACCAAGGCGCUUGAGAGAACUCGGGUGAAGGAACUAGGCAAAUUGGCACCGUAACUUCGGAAGAAGGUGCGCCGACUUGGGUGAUGGGACUUGCUCCCUGAGCUUGGGUUGGUCGAAGAUACCAGGUGGCUGCGACUGUUUAUCAAAAACAUAGCACUCUGCAAACACGUAAGUGGAAGUAUAGGGUGUGACCCCUGCCCGGUGCCGGAAGGUUAAUUGAUGGGGUUAGUUUUCGGACGAAGCUCUUGAUCGAAGCCCCGGUGAACGGCGGCCGUAACUAUAACGGUCCUAAGGUAGCGAAAUUCCUUGUCGGGUAAGUUCCGACCUGCACGAAUGGCGUAACGAUGGCCACACUGUCUCCACCCGAGACUCAGUGAAAUUGAAUUUGCUGUGAAGAUGCAGUGUACCCGCGGCUAGACGGAAAGACCCCGUGCACCUUUACUACAGCUUUGCACUGAACUUUGAACUUAUUUGUGUAGGAUAGGUGGGAGACUUUGAAACGCAGGCGCUAGCUUGCGUGGAGUCACCCUUGAAAUACCACCCUGGUAAGUUUGAGGUUCUAACCUUGGUCCGUUAUCCGGAUUAGGGACAGUGUAUGGUGGGUAGUUUGACUGGGGCGGUCUCCUCCCAAAGAGUAACGGAGGAGCACGAAGGUACUCUCGGCAUGGUCGGAAAUCAUGCUAUGAGUGUAAAGGCAUAAGAGUGCUUGACUGCGAGAUUGACGAAUCGAGCAGGUGGGAAACCAGGUCUUAGUGAUCCGGUGGCACUGCAUGGU